rnacentral:rRNA from 1 species
AUGCAUUCGCUGACAUGCCCAAGAUCUCCUAUACGGAGGACGGCCUCGUCCUGCUCAGCAUCAACCAUCUGCCCCGAGCGCCAGCACAUGUACACCGAGAACAUCCGCUACUUCGUCUACCAGGCCGGCACCAAGAAGACGCCGCCGUCGGUCAAGCUCGUCCACUCUCCCCCCUACUUCAGGAUCCACGACCAAGAGGUUGCCUUACUGCACUGCCACGACCAAGAGAUGUUCUUCAUCGCCGUGCUCCGCAGGGCCUUCAUUGAUCGGGAGUACACCGACGGGCACUUUAAUCUCCACCUGUACAACUCCAAGACAAAGGCAUGGAACAUCAAGUUGAUGCUUCUUGAUUCGCCCAAGGAUUUUGAGUUCCACUCUCCCAACAAGGGGAUCACCAUUGGAGGGGAGCUUGGUUCAGUGGGUUGGGUCGACCUUAGGCGGGGCAUUAUCAUCUGUGACCUUCUCCUUAACAACCAGAGUCUUCGCUACAUCCCACUACCUUCGCCGCUGUCGCCCGAUCCACUCAGGGGUUAUCCGUUGUAUGUUCGGAACAUCACUGUUCUCCAAGGUUACAUCAAGUAUUUUGAGAUGCACAGUAACGUCAGACCGGGCUCAGACACUGGAAGCUCCCCGAUAUCUGAAGGUUGGAUUGCUGCAACAAAAAAAAAUAAAAAUUUCAAGCAUUGGCUCUACUUCUGGUAG